GAAGUUGUUUGUAACACAGUGUAGAAUGCGCGGAGCAGUCACUACCCACAAUGUGCUGCAGGCAGUGAAGUUAGUGGCACUCAUGGACUAAGUGAUGUUUCCUCCCUCACUAGAUCUCAGUUUUGCCAGCGCUUGCAUGGAGUUCUACAUGAGCUCUGACGACACAGAGAUGGAGUCCAGCGUGUGUCCAGGCAGCAGCUCGUGGACCGGCAGCCUGAGUAAACGGCAGCAUCUCCCCCACAGCGGACACGUCUGUGAGAUGGUGGCCCGCAACUUCCGCUUGAGGGACAAGGCCCUGCUCCUCAACACAUUUGAACUCCAGCCGUCCAGUUUCAAUGGAGUGCGGCCGGAUUUUGGCAAGAAGCUGCAACAGUGCGAGUCGGCGUGUUGCCGUGGUUACUACACCGUCACCAUUUUAGGGCUGGACGGGGAGCUGU